rnacentral:rRNA from 1 species
GCGGGAAUUUUCUGCAAUGUACGAAAGUAUGACAGGGCGAGCCAGAGUGAUUCUCUAUAAUUGAGAAUCUUUUGUGACAUGUAAAUAGUGUUACGAAUAAGGACCGGGCAAGACUGGUGCCAGUCGCCGCGGUAAUCCCAGCGGUCCAAGUCGCAACCACAAUUAUUGGGUCUAAAACAUCCGUAGCUUGCCUUGUAAGUCUCUUGUGAAAUCCGGCCUCUUAAGGGUCGAAGAGCGAGAGAUACUGCGA